AGUGUGUGUGUGAGUGAGUGUGUGCAAUCAAACGGAAGGGUUUGGCUUCCUGAGUACCGACUGCACACAAAUUGAGCAAAAGCCCCUUUCCAAUCUAAUUCUCGUUCGCUGCUGUCACAGUUUUUUUUUUUUUUUUCCGCCAUUAACCUCUGGACGUGCGUGGGUGUGUUUAAGGGCCAACGUUGGGCUCCGUGUGAGAAAACGGAGGGAUUAAAAAUCGCCCUUUGGGGCCGGCGCAACAAGACACCAAUCGGACGGACCACCUGUUGCUGUUGGCGACGGGGGCCUGACAGGAGAAUGUGAUUGGACCAUGAGGUCGUUAACCUCCGCAUAGAGAAAGUGCUGAACCCCCGGCAGGAGGGGAGAGAUGAGGCUGAUUGGCAAUUUGUCUGGAGAAGAAUUAGGUUGCUGGUUUCACAGGGGAGGCUCAAUGCAGCGAAGGCCUAAAUGCCAAAGAAUUAGAGAUGUGCUUAAGAGGGGAAGGAUAGGAGGGAGAAAGGAACUUUAGCAAAAGGGAAGAGGUGAGAACGUGAGGAGGAGGAGGAGGAAGAAGAGUGGACGGAGACGGCUGAGUGCUGAUAGGCCAGUGGCACACUGCUCCGGGCAAUUAAAAAGACCCGCUGCUCCUGGUAGCAUUGUGAUGGAUGAAGGGCUCGGGGACAUGGCUCCGAGCGCUGUAGCUCCACGGGCUUCACCUUCUCUGGAGGGCUUUCAUCCAACAGUUCAAUCCUUAGAUCAGCGUUAAGAUAAUUCGACGGAAUUCAAAGACGCCCAGUGAACGGAUUGAAUGCUACGACCGAAACAAGGAGCAAAAAUACGUUACAGUUAUUGGAGGAAUUGUCCGCACAAACCAUUUCAUUUAUUUUAAUUCUAGGGAGCAUUUUUCUAGCUUGGCCUUAUAUAUAUAUAUAUAUAAAUAUUUGUGUAAUAUUCUCCAGAAUAACCUCUGAUGUACUGCGUCCCCACUAUUUGAAGUACCGUGGCAUGUUGGAGUACAGGACAAGAAUUUCCCGACACCAUGAGUUAGGACAGUAUCACUUGAAGCUCACGUAAAAAGCCACCAUGUCCAUAAUAAAGGAGCAUUUUGGGUUUUUUGUUUUUGGGAAAUCGAGUUUCUCUUCUCAUCACGUUGACCUACAGCAUCAGUAACUCCGUUGGCAUAGAUUCAAUUAUUUCUAAACCACCUAGCAGGGGUUUGAUUUUUGAGGUUUGUUUAUGAAAAAAUUUCCAUUUAUGAAAAAAAUACUCCUCAAAAGAAAUGUCAAAAUCUGGCCCGGGGUCAACUUUUAGAUAGAUUUUCUCCAGCAGAUUUGACUUCAUCUUGUAUGGCCUUGAGAUAGAUAUGAAAAGCAAAGUGACUUUGGUCACCUGUUAAAGACCUGUUUAGAUUUUUCAUCCAUGUGUUGCAAUAGAAAUUUGCAUUAAGUUCUCCAUAAAAGAGUUCAUUUGCAUUUGUUUUCAAUGGUUCAAAGAAUUUCAGCCUGAAAAGUAAAAAAGUAAAAAGAUUUUUUGGCGUGAAC